rnacentral:rRNA from 1 species
AUCUACGGCCAUACCACCCUGAACGUGCCUGAUGUCCGAUCUUGGAAGCUAAGCAGGGUCGGUUAGUACUUGGAUGGGAACAGUUUCUCUCUUUUUCUUUCAUGAUUUUGGCUUGUUUGAAGCAUAUAGGCCAGUUA